rnacentral:rRNA from 1 species
CCUACGGGUGGCUGCAGUGAGGAAUAUUGGUCAAUGGACGCAAGUCUGAACCAGCCAUGCCGCGUGCAGGAAGACGGUUCUAUGAGUUGUAAACUGCUUUUGUACGAGGGUAAACGCAGAUACGCGUAUCUGUCCGAACGUAUCGUACGAAUAAGGAUCGGCUAACUCCGUGCCAGCAGCCGCGGUAAUACGGAGGAUGCAAGCGUUAUCCGGAUGUAUUGGGGUUAAAGGGUGCGUAGGCGGUCUGGUAAGUUAGAGGGGAAACCCCGAGGCUCAACUUCGGAAUUGCCUUUGAUACUGUUCGGCUAGAGAGGAGGUGCGGUAGGCGGAAUGUAUGGUGUAGUGGUGAAAUGCUUAGAGAUCAUACAGAACACCGAUUGCGAAGGCAGCUUACCAAGCUACUUCUGACGUUGAGGCACGAAAGCGUGGGGAGCAAACAGGAUUAGAUACCCGAGUAGUC